rnacentral:tRNA from 1 species
GGGUCGUUAGCUCAGUUGGUAGAGCAGUUGGCUUUUAACCAAUUGGUCGUAGGUGCGAAUCCUACACGACCCACCA